AUUGAACGCUGGCGGCAGGCCUAACACAUGCAAGUCGAGCGAGCGGCGGACGGGUGAGUAAUGUAUGGGAAUCUGCCCGAUAGCGGGGGAUAACUACUGGAAACGGUAGCGAAUACCGCAUACUAUCGGAUGAACCCAUAUGGGCUUAGCUAGUAGUUGGGGUAAAGGCUCACCGAGGCGACGAUCAGUAGCUGGUCUGAGAGGAUGAUCAGCCACACUGGAACUGAGACACGGCCCAGACUCCUAGGGGAGGCAGCAGAGGGGAAUAUUGCCCAAGGGGGGCAAGCCUGAUGCAGCCAUGCCGCGUGUAUGAAGAAGGCCUUAGGGUUGUAAAGUACUUUCAGCGGGGAGGCGUUACCCGCAGAAGAAGCACCGGCUAACUCCGUGCCAGCAGCCGCGGUAAUUC
rnacentral:rRNA from 1 species